rnacentral:rRNA from 1 species
UACGUAGGGUGCAAGCGUUAAUCGGAAUUACUGGGCGUAAAGCGUGCGCAGGCGGUUUUGUAAGUCUGUCGUGAAAGCCCCGGGCUCAACCUGGGAAUUGCAUUUGAGACUGCGUAGCUAGGGUGCGGAAGAGGGAAGCGGAAUUUCCGGUGUAGCGGUGAAAUGCGUAGAUAUCGGAAGGAACACCAGUGGCGAAAGCGGCUUCCUGGUCCAGCACCGACGUUCAGGCACGAAAGCGUGGGGAGCAAACAGG